rnacentral:snoRNA from 1 species
GGGAUAUGAUGAGUGGUUGAGUCUCGCAAUAAUAUGCGAGUUGGGUGUUCGCCCCAAGCCUGGUUACGACAAUUGGGCACUCUCAUGUAAUCAAUCUGAUCCCUAAUUACUUAAUACCUGAGGGGAAAAUCAAGUUUUUUAAUUUUUUCUAAACAUUAAUUAAUGGUUUAAAAUUAGUUUAAUUGGUGUUCAAGGAUUUAAAACUUUAAAUUGAUUGUUUUAAUAAUAAUAUUUAUUUUAAUUUAUUAACUAACAAUAUAAACCAAGUGGAAUACAAAGUCAAAACAAUUUUGCAUGAUAAUCAUUCGUGCUAUAUAACAUUUUUGAUAAAUACAUGGUGUUGGACAAUCAAAAGGUUGUCAACGU